AUGUGCUCUAUUUGUGGAGUAGAAGAUGAAAGCACUUUUCAUGCCCUCGUUACUUGUUCUAAGGCUCGUGCUCUGCGACUCGCCUUGAGAGAAUCGUGGAAUAUUCCUGAUGAAGAGUGGUUCAAAUUCUCGGGGCCAGAUUGGCUAUUGAUUCUGUUGGAUCAUUUGAGCCUGCAACAGCGAGAGCAAGUUUUGUUUCUUUUCUGGUGAGCAUGGCACCUGAGAAAUAAUUUAAUUUUUGGAAAAGGGCAGGAAUCCAUUGCUGCUUCUGCAAUUUUUGUGGUAAACUAUUGGUCUUCUUUAACGUCAUGUCAUGAGACUGUCGAGGUUGUUCCUAGUAACAAAGAUAAAGAAAAAAAAUGGAAGGUGCUACACCAGUUUUCGCAACAUCACAACAACAUGAGGGAUGGAAACCUCCACCAGAAGAUUAUAUCAAGAUCAAUGUCGAUGCCAGCUAUGUGGAGAGUAUUAAUGCAGCCAGUGUGGGGGUGGUUGUGA
rnacentral:rRNA from 1 species